AUAUAAGCGUCGCUCGGGCGUCGCCUCGGCCGCAUUUUCAGCAGCUCCAGCCCGGGAAGCAUUUCUUGACUGCUAGUCACCAUCAUGUCUUCUGAAGAAGGAAAGCUGUUUGUUGGGGGUCUCAACUUUGAUACUGAUGAGCAAGGCCUUGAGCAACACUUCAGUUCUUUUGGCCCUAUUUCUGAAGUUGUUGUGAUCAAGGACAAAGAGACGCAGAGAUCAAGAGGCUUUGGCUUUAUUACUUUUGCCAAUCCAGAGCAUGCCUCAGAUGCCAUGAGAGCCAUGAAUGGAGAGUCUGUAGAUGGGCGACAGAUCAGAGUUGACCAUGCAGGGAAAUCUUCUCGUGGAUCCAGAGGAGGAUACUUUGGGGGCAGGGGGCGAGGCCGUGGCUAUUCCCGAGGUGGUGGAGACAGAAACUAUGGUGGACGAUAUGACAACCGAAGCGGAGGCUAUGGCGGUUCUCGGGACUACGGCAGAAGUCAGGGAGGCUAUAACGAUCGCUACUCCUCAGGAGGCUCUUACAGAGACAACUAUGACAACUAAGGUGAGAGAAGAUGAUGUCUACUGUCCUGAAAGAAUAAGCAUUGCCCUCGAUGGUGCAACAAGCUACCAGACUAGGAGGUGAAUGCUUCAGAUGGGAUCCUGAAUCCAUACAAUGAAAGAUUCCUGUACUGACUGAAGGAUGUGACAAGUGGGCACAAGGAAGAUGCCUUUUGAGGAGACACCUGUGUGACAAGCUGGACAGGUUGAUGGCAUCACUGGAAUGUAUCAAGACUGACAACACUUUGGCAGUAUAACAGCAAUUGUGGACUCGUGUUAGGUUGUGCAUGUAAUGGCUGUUGGAAUGAAUGUUUAUCAGAAGGGCAUUUACGUGCAUCAAUGGUAAUGGCUUGGUCCAGUUGCGAAGUUAAACUAGAAGAGCAUGCUAAACUUCGAUCAUUAUGAAUGGUGUUUCAUGUGGUUUAUUAUCUUGUCAAAAUGUAUGAAAGGGGGUAAGGGGAUCAUAAGUGGAAUAAAUUCAUAGUAUUGGGGUGAGGGAAUACUAUAAGCCUCCAAUAUGAAUUCUGCAGAGGGCAAGCCUAUAUAGAGAUUUUAAUAGUAGCAGUACUAUAAAAUGUAUGUUUUUUUUUUUUUUUUGAAAAAUUAGUCUGCCUGUCCUCUAGCAGCAUUUUGGAUUAAAGUUGUCAAUGUAGUCUAUCAUCUAAUAAAAUUGUAUUGAUGGAACAGUCA